rnacentral:rRNA from 1 species
GACAGAGGGUGCAAACGUUGCUCGGAAUCACUGGGCGUAAAGGGCGUGUAGGCGGAUUUGUAAGUCGGGCGUGAAAUCCCUGGGCUCAACCCAGGAACUGCACUCGAAACUGCGAGUCUUGAGUACCGGAGAGGAAGGUGGAAUUCCUGGUGUAGAGGUGAAAUUCGUAGAUAUCAGGAGGAACACCAGUGGCGAAGGCGGCCUUCUGGACGGUAACUGACGCUGAGACGCGAAAGCGUGGGGAGCAAACAGG